UAGCAUCCCACAGUUUGGAAAACAUUGCCUUAUGUAAUUUGAAAUUUUUAAUAUUAUAUUUUGAUUUAUGAUAUAUUGUUCUAUGCAAUGCUAUACUGUGCUUAUAUGUUGAUUCUUAAGAGAUUACUGUACAACAAUAAUGUCUGCAAAAAAACAGAUCUAAAUAUAGUCUUUAAUUUACGACAGGGUUCAGUUUCAGACACCAUAGUCGUAAGUUGUAAUUAUCUCACCAAUACGGACACACUAUAUUAUCUUAAUGUAAAUAACACUAAACUGCAAGAACAAGACACAAAGUAAUGCUUUCCAUACAUCACAUCGUUGUAUCAGGGACUCUAAUCCAUUGAACUGCAUUAAUGGAUUACAUCAUAAGUAUGAGCGGUCAUAAGUCAAAGAUUACCUGUAUACUGUAUUUUAUGUACUUGUUAAUUUUCGUAAGUUAAUAUAUUUAAGAAUAUUCACAUCAAAAAAUUGAAUUAGUUGUUAAAAGUUUACAUUGUAUUAAAAAUGAAAAUAAAAAAUACCUUAUCUUUAUCAAUCUCGUCAACAAUUUUAC
rnacentral:lncRNA from 1 species